UACAGAGGUCUCAAGCGUUGUUCGGAUUCAUUGGGCGUAAAGGGUGCGUAGGCGGUCGCGCAAGUCGGAUGUGAAAUCUCGGGGCUCAACCCCGAAACUGCAUUCGAUACUGCGUGGCUCGAGUACUGGAGAGGAGACUGGAAUUUACGGUGUAGCAGUGAAAUGCGUAGAUAUCGUAAGGAAGACCAGUGGCGAAGGCGAGUCUCUGGACAGUUACUGACGCUGAGGCACGAAGGCCAGGGGAGCAAACGGG
rnacentral:rRNA from 1 species